GAUGAACGCUGGCGGCGUGCCUAAUACAUGCAAGUCGAGCGAACAGACGAGGAGCUUGCUCCUCUGACGUUAGCGGCGGACGGGUGAGUAACACGUGGAUAACCUACCUAUAAGACUGGGAUAACUUCGGGAAACCGGAGCUAAUACCGGAUAAUAUAUUGAACCGCAUUGUUCAAUAGUGAAAGACUGUUUUGCUGUCACUUAUAGAUGGAUCCUCGCCGCAUUAUCUAUUUGGUAAGGUAACGGCUUACCAAGGCAACGAUGCGUAGCCGACCUGAGAGGGGGAUCGGCCACACUGGAACUGAGCCACGGUCAAGACUCCUACGGGAGGCAGCAGUAGGGAAUCUUCCGCAAUGAGCGAAAGCCUGACGGAGAAACGCCGCGUGAGUGAUGAAGGUCUUCGGAUCGUAAAACUCUGUUAUUAGGGAAGAACAAAUGUGUAAGUAACUAUGCACGUCUUGACGGUACCUAAUCAGAAAGCCACGGCUAACUACGUG
rnacentral:rRNA from 1 species